rnacentral:rRNA from 1 species
ACGAAGGGGGCUAGCGUUGUUCGGAAUUACUGGGCGUAAAGCGCACGUAGGCGGACUUGUAAGUAGGGGGUGAAAUCCCCGGGCUCAACCCGGGAACUGCCUUCUAGACUGCAAGCCUGGAGGUCAGGAGAGGCGAGUGGAAUACCGAGUGUAGAGGUGAAAUUCGUAGAUAUUCGGUGGAACACCAGUGGCGAAGGCGACUCGCUGGACUGAUACUGACGCUGAGGUGCGAAAGCGUGGGGAGCAAACAGGA